GGCGGUUCUCGGGUGACUCACCCUGGAAUUGGGCUCCCUUCUCUCUGGUUCCAGGGUGCAUCACUUGAGAACUGCU
rfam:Myotis davidii contig88947, whole genome shotgun sequence.